GGUGCUGUAGUUCAGUGGUAGAAUAGCACUCACUGUCUAGGGGUUGGUAAGGGGUUCGAUUCCCCUCAGCACCG
rnacentral:tRNA from 1 species